AUGCUUGCUUCAGCAGCAUAUUACUAAAAUUAGAAUGAUUCAGAAAAGAUUAGCAUGGCCACUGCACAAGGAUGACACAUAAAUUCGUGUAGCGUUCCACAUUUUU
ensembl:snRNA U6 U6 spliceosomal RNA